UACGUAGGUGGCAAGCGUUGUCCGGAAUUACUGGGUGUAAAGGGAGCGUAGGCGGGAAGGCAAGUUGAAUGUUUAAGGUACUGGCUCAACUGGUACAAGCGUUCAAAACUGUUUUUCUUGAGUGGAGUAGAGGUAAGCGGAAUUCCUAGUGUAGCGGUGAAAUGCGUAAAUAUUAGGAGGAACACCAGUGGCGAAGGCGGCUUACUGGGCUUUAACUGACGCUGAGGCUCGAAAGCGUGGGUAGCAAACAGG
rnacentral:rRNA from 1 species